rnacentral:rRNA from 1 species
UACGUAGGGGGCAAGCGUUGUCCGGAUUUAUUGGGCGUAAAGAGCGUGUAGGCGGCCAUGUAGGUCCGUUGUGAAAACUCGAGGCUCAACCUCGAGACGCCGAUGGAAACCAUGUGGCUAGAGUCCGGAAGAGGAGAGUGGAAUUCCUGGUGUAGCGGUGAAAUGCGCAGAUAUCAGGAAGAACACCCGUGGCUAAGGCGGCUCUCUAGUACGGUACUGACGCUGAGACGCGAAAAGCGUGGGGGAGCAAACAGG